rnacentral:misc_RNA from 1 species
UUUCCGUAGGUGAACCUGCGGAAGGAUCGUUAAUGAGAACUAAGGGUAGUAGUCUCGGCUACUACUCUGAACACUCCACCCUUUGUUUAUAUUACCUUUGUUGCUUUAGCAGGCCCGCUCUCGAGCCGCCGGCACCUGCUGGCCAGUGCCUGCUAAAAAACCUAAAACUCUUGUUAAUAAUAUUGUCUGAGUACUAUAUAAUAGUUAAAACUUUCAACAACGGAUCUCUUGGUUCUG